rnacentral:rRNA from 1 species
UACGGAGGGUGCAAGCGUUGCUCGGAAUCACUGGGCGUAAAGCGACCGCAGGCGGCCUGACAAGUCGGAUGUGAAAGCCCUGGGCUCAACUCAGGAAUUGCAUUCGAAACUGGUAGGCUCGAGUACGGGAGAGGGGGAUGGAAUUCCUGGUGUAGGGGUGAAAUUCGUUGAUAUCAGGAGGAACACCGGCGGCGAAGGCGGCCCCCUGGCCCGCAACUGACGCUCAUGGUCGAAAGCGUGGGGAGCAAACAGG